rnacentral:rRNA from 1 species
UGCAAGUCGAGGGGUAACAGAGAAGCUUGCUUCUGCUGACGACCGGCGCACGGGUGCGUAACGCGUAUGCAACCUACCUUAUACAGGAGAAUACCCCUUGGAAACGAGGAAUAAUGCUCCAUAGUAUCAUCACUUCGCAUGUUGAGAUGAUUAAAGAAUUUCGGUAUAAGAUGGGCAUGCGUCCUAUUAGCUAGUUGGUGAGGUAAUGGCUCACCAAGGCGACGAUAGGUAGGGGGCCUGAGAGGGUGAUCCCCCACACUGGUACUGAGACACGGACCAGACUCCUACGGGAGGCAGCAGUGAGGAAUAUUGGGCAAUGGAGGAAACUCUGACCCAGCCAUGCCGCGUGCAGGAAGACGGCCCUAUGGGUUGUAAACUGCUUUUGUACGAGAAUAAACCCUUCCACGUGUGGAAGGCUGAAGGUACCGUACGAAUAAGGAUCGGCUAACUCCGUGCCAGCAGCCGCGGUAAUACGGAGGAUCCAAGCGUUAUCCGGAUUUAUUGGGUUUAAAGGGUCCGUAGGCGGGUUUUUAAGUCAGUGGUGAAAGCCUACAGCUUAACUGUAGAAUUGCCAUUGAUACUGGAGACCUUGAGUGUAGUAGAAGUAGGCGGAAUAAGG